AUUUUUUUAUUGAAUUCAAUUGAAUAAGUUUUUUAAUUGAAAACCUGGGUACCUAGAUGCUCGAGAGAUCAUUUUCAACCAUCGAUACAAUACUGUUGUAAUUUAGUAGUUGUGCAGUUUGAGAAUUGGUGUGUUGUUGUUCCUUCAGCAACCUGACUAACCUGAUAUACUCAAGAAACCAAGCUAAACUGCUUAUCUGGGCAUUAUUGACAACCUAAAUGGUUUGGUUUGGCUUGGCUAUAAUUCAUAUGAAUCUGAAGUCGUUAGAUCUUGUGUUAGGAACAUGGUCUUUAAGAUCUGAUUUAACAACCUAGAGCAAUAUGCAUAUGUACUGGUGAAAAUAUAAGAUCAGAAUUUUUAAACGACAAAAUUAACCUGCAAAUUCAGUUCAGAUUAAGAUUUUUUAGCGAGAGAAUCAAGUUCAAAAUUCAAUUGAGGUUGCAUUUGCAAAGGGAGAACAACAUCUUAGAUAGUUUUUGUGCUUAUGAAACAUUUGAGGG